rnacentral:rRNA from 1 species
UACAGAGGGGGCAAGCGUUGUUCGGAAUUACUGGGCGUAAAGGGCGCGUAGGCGGCCCUCUAAGUCGAACGUGAAAUCCCCGGGCUCAACCCGGGAACUGCGUCCGAUACUGGAGGGCUCGAAUCCGGGAGAGGGAUGUGGAAUUCCAGGUGUAGCGGUGAAAUGCGUAGAUAUCUGGAGGAACACCGGUGGCGAAGGCGGCAUCCUGGACCGACACUGACGCUGAGGCGCGAAAGCUAGGGGAGCAAACGGG